UACGUAGGGGGCAAGCGUUGUCCGGAUUUAUUGGGCGUAAAGCGCGUGUAGGCGGCCAGGUAGGUCUGCUGUGAAAACUCGAGGCUCAACCUCGAGAUGUCGGCGGAAACCCUCUGGCUAGAGUCCGGAAGAGGAGAGUGGAAUUCCCGGUGUAGCGGUGAAAUGCGCAGAUAUCGGGAAGAACACCCGUGGCGAAAGCGGCUUACUGGGUCUCUUCUGACGCUGAGGAACGAAAGCUAGGGGAGCGAACGGG
rnacentral:rRNA from 1 species